rnacentral:rRNA from 1 species
AGAGUUUGAUCCUGGCUCAGGAUGAACGCUGGCGGCGUGCCUAAUACAUGCAAGUCGAACGCUUCACUUCGGUGAAGAGUGGCGAACGGGUGAGUAAUACAUAAGUAACCUGGCAUCUACAGGGGGAUAACUGAUGGAAACGUCAGCUAAGACCGCAUAGGUGUAGAGAUCGCAUGAACUCUAUAUGAAAAGUGCUACGGGACUGGUAGAUGAUGGACUUAUGGCGCAUUAGCUAGUUGGUAGGGUAACGGCCUACCAAGGCGACGAUGCGUAGCCGACCUGAGAGGGUGACCGGCCACACUGGGACUGAGACACGGCCCAGACUCCUACGGGAGGCAGCAGUAGGGAAUUUUCGGCAAUGGGGGAAACCCUGACCGAGCAACGCCGCGUGAAGGAAGAAGUAAUUCGUUAUGUAAACUUCUGUCAUAGAGGAAGAACGGUGGAUAUAGGGAAUGAUAUCCAAGUGACGGUACUCUAUAAGAAAGCCACGGCUAACUACGUGCCAGCAGCCGCGGUAAUACGUAGGUGGCGAGCGUUAUCCGGAAUUAUUGGGCGUAAAGAGGGAGCAGGCGGCACUAAGGGUCUGUGGUGAAAGAUCGAAGCUUAACUUCGGUAAGCCAUGGAAACCGUAGAGCUAGAGUGUGUGAGAGGAUCGUGGAAUUCCAUGUGUAGCGGUGAAAUGCGUAGAUAUAUGGAGGAACACCAGUGGCGAAGGCGACGAUCUGGCGCAUAACUGACGCUCAGUCCCGAAAGCGUGGGGAGCAAAUAGGAUUAGAUACCCUAGUAGUCCACGCCGUAAACGAUGAGUACUAAGUGUUGGGGUUUCCCAGUGCUGAAGCUAACGUAUUAAGUACUCCGCCUGAGUAGUACGGUCGCAAGGCUGAAACUCAAAGGAAUUGACGGGCACCCGCACAAGCGGUGGAGCAUGCUGUUUAAUUCGAAGAUACGCGAAGAACCUUACCUAGACUUGACAUCCCUGGCAAAGCUAUAGAAAUAUAGUGGAGGUUACCCAGGUGACAGGUGGUGCAUGGUUGUCGUCAGCUCGUGUCGUGAGAUGUUCGGUUAAGUCCGCUAACGAGCGCAACCCUUAUCCUUAGUUGCUAACAUUUAGUUGAGAACCCUAAGGAGACUGCCGGUGACAAACCGGAGGAAGGUGGGGAUGACGUCAAAUCAUCAUGCCCCUUACGUCUAGGGCUACAGGCGUGCUAUAAUGGCUGGUACAAUGAGACGCAAUACUGUGAAGUGGAGCAAAUCUAUAAAGCCAGUCUCAGUUCGGAUUGAAGUCUGCAACUCGACUUCAUGAAGCUAGAAUCGCUAGUAAUCCCAAAUCAGAAUGUUGGGGUGAAUACGUUCCCGGGUGUUGUACACACCGCCCGUCAUGCCAUGAAAGUUUGUAAUACCCGAAUGUGGUAGCCUAACCUUUUAGGAGGGGGCCAUUUAAGGUAGGACAAGUGAUUGGGGUAAAGUCGUAACAAGGUAUCCCUACGAGAACGUGGGGAUG